rnacentral:rRNA from 1 species
GAGUUUGGUGUUUGUUAGAAUGUUGGUAUUGUGGGUUUCUUUAUUUUGGUUACCUUUUGCAUCAUGAUCUAUUGAUUUGUUCUGUAGUUUUCAGUGUCCCGAAAAAUAGUGAUUUUCUUUUCUUCUGUUUAGAACUUAGUGUAGGACAUGUAGUUUUUAUGAGAAAGGUAAGAGGUUGUGAUAAAUGAUUUCGGACUAUUUGAUAUUUGGUUGGAGAGUUGGUUUUUUGAUUUAGGUGUUUUGGCAAAGAUGUCAAAAUAUUUUAAAGAGAGGGUGUUUUGUUAUUUGAUGAGUUAGGUUAAAAUUACUUUACUCUUUUGAGUGUGUUAUUACUCUUUUUUUUUUUCCUCCCUCUUUUUUUUAUUCUUCUCUUGUUUAAUUUUUUUUUGGUAAUGAUAGAAUGCGUAGAUUUUAUUGGUUCUCUUUUUUCUCGAUAGUUUUCGGUCUGUUUAUUAAAAACAUUUCUAUUUGUUGUAUUUUGAUAGUAUUGCCUGCCCAAUGCGUUUGUGAAUGGCCGCAGUAUCUUGACUGUGCUAAGGUAGCAUAAUUAGUUGCCUCAUAAUUGGAGGAUUGUUUGAAAGGUUUGACUUGGGAAUUUGAUUAGAUGAGAGUCUAUUUUUGAGAUUGGGUUUUGGGUGUAGACCCCCAAAGAGUUUAAUAAGACGGAAAGACCCCGAGAUUUUUACUUUGAGUGGUUUGUUUGGGGUAAAAGCAUAUUUUUUAUGUGUUUUUUGAUCCUGUGUUUGGAAUAAGGUUGAAAUUACCUCGGGGAUAACUAGGUAAAAUGAGAGGAGAGGUCUUAUCGAUUCUUGUGAUUGCCAUCUCGAUGUUGACUUGGGAAAUAUGAUAGGUUGUAGGAGUUCUAUUAUUGGGUCUGUUCGACCCGGGUUCCCUCAUGAGUUGAGUUAAGACCGGCGUGAGCCAGGUCGGUUCUUAUCUAUUUUUGGUAUGGGCUAGUACGAAAGGAUUGCUUAUAUUUAAGGUUUAUAUG